AGUACAGGAUGGACCCGCGUCUGAUUAGCUAGUUGGUAAGGUAACGGCUUACCAAGGCGACGAUCAGUAGCCGACCUGAGAGGGUGAUCGGCCACAUUGGAACUGAGACACGGUCCAAACUCCUACGGGAGGCAGCAGUGGGGAAUAUUGCACAAUGGGCGAAAGCCUGAUGCAGCAACGCCGCGUGAGUGAUGAAGGCCUUCGGGUCGUAAAACUCUGUCCUCAAGGAAGAUAAUGACGGUACUUGAGGAGGAAGCCCCGGCUAACUACGUGCCAGCAGCCGCGGUAAUACGUAGGGGGCUAGCGUUAUCCGGAUUUACUGGGCGUAAAGGGUGCGUAGGCGGUCUUUCAAGUCAGGAGUGAAAGGCUACGGCUCAACCGUAGUAAGCUCUUGAAACUGGGAG
rnacentral:rRNA from 1 species